rnacentral:miRNA from 1 species
AGAGGUGAAGCGGGGCGGGGGGGAGGGGGUGGGGUCUUGCUCUGUUGCCUAAGCUGAUCUCA